GCCGAUAGCCCAGGGACCGAUGUAGUAGCAAUGAUGAGCGAUGCCAGCGCGAUAUAUUUGUUUUUGUUUAUGUUCUAUGUCCUGGUUUGAGUUUGUUUCAGUGUUUAUUUUGAUUUUGUAAUAAUGCCAUAUUGGUAAACAUAAUAUAGUAUCGGUUCGUUGUUAAAAAUAAAAAUUUUCGAAUAGAGAGAAAACUCUUUGUUAUAUGAAUCAGAUGUAACUGAAGCAAAAGUUUCCUCAUGUAUGCUGCAUUAAGGUAUAAAAUUAAUCUUGGAAAUGCUGUGUGACAGAUGAGUACAUCCACAGAGACAUGGAAGAGAAUCAUCAAUUGCAAAAAGAUUUGGCUCAAAAAAUCCCAUUAAAAUGUGGUACAUUUUUGUUCAGGAGAUAUUAUAAAGAGAGAAGUUAUCAAUUAUCUAAGCUAUCCAGAUAAUUUGGUACAAAAACGAAGACAAGAGCUAGAAAUAGAGAUAUUAAAACUACUUCUGAAAUUAUUACUUUUUCAGAGGAUGGUAGCUCUGUCCAACUUGAAGAUUAUGACACUAAGUUUGCAGGAUAUCAUCACAGAAGAUCGUGAAAGCAGUUCAGAAGUUAUAUUAUUAGAUGGAGACAGUGGAAGUGAUAGUCAAAUAGAUAGUCUCCAACAUAAAAAAAUUUGGUUAUUGAAAUAACCAAAAAAAAUUUAUAAAUUACUACCAUAAAUUAAUUAAUAAUAAUUUUGCUGUAUUACCACUCAACCAAUGAUCAUAAUUAUUUUAGAAACAAAACGAGACAGAAAUUGUAAAACAAAUAUUUUGGACACAAACCAUUACUGAUUUAUAAAGAAGAUUCUAUGUAAAUUUAUACAGAAGAACUAUAAACAUUAUAUAAUAUGUUUUGAUUAUAAUUUAGUUAAAUUCAAAGAGAUCGAUAUAAUAGUGUGAAGGCAAAGAGUAUUUCAGUACCUGUGGUUCAUAAUGAAUUAAUCAUACUUAAAUUUGAAAUUAUUGAGUGUGUUUAUUCAAUUUCAAAUGAUAACAUAAGAAAUAACUUUAAAAAUGUUAAAUUAUGUUCAAAAUUAAUGAUUGUUAGAUCUGAUAUAUUAAUAAAACACGAAAUUGACUACUUUGAAUUCACUCAUCUACCUCCAUUCAAAGUAUAAGAAGAUGAAGCUGAUAUAACUUGCACUAUGAUUAGUGCUAUGGGUUAUAUAAAUUAUAUAAAUUAAGUUAUAUAAAUUAUAUAAAUUUAUAUAAAUUAAGUUAUAUAAAUUAAGAUCUAGCUUUAACUCUCUAGAAUAACCAAUAUAUGUUCCAAGACUGUAGAGAAAACAAAAUAAUAAAUGAGAAAUAUAUUAAGAUGUCUAAGAGAAAUGUUUUGUUACAAUACUAUUUAUAAAUCUUGAAUUAUUGUUUAUUUGAAAAUCUGUAACGAUUUUUACAGCUUGAACAGUUUAGCAAGUAAAAGUUCAGAUUGAAGCUUGACUAAGAAUGUCUGCUCUUCCCAGCAAUACAAUUAAAAAAUAUAUUUUAUAAAAAGUAAAAACAUGUGCAAGUACAAUCAGAUAGAAGAUUUCUGUAUAUACAGAUAUAUCGAUAGUAAUUUCUUCAAAUU